GUGAACGCUGGCGGUAGGCCUAACACAUGCAAGUCGAACGGCAGCACAGUAAGAGCUUGCUCUUACGGGUGGCGAGUGGCAGACGGGUGAGGAAUACAUCGGAAUCUACUUUUUCGUGGGGGAUAACGUAGGGAAACUUACGCUAAUACCGCAUACGACCUACGGGUGAAAGCAGGGGAUCUUCGGACCUUGCGCGAUUGAAUGAGCCGAUGUCGGAUUAGCUAGUUGGCGGGGUAAAGGCCCACCAAGGCGACGAUCCGUAGCUGGUCUGAGAGGAUGAUCAGCCACACUGGAACUGAGACACGGUCCAGACUCCUACGGGAGGCAGCAGUGGGGAAUAUUGGACAAUGGGCGCAAGCCUGAUCCAGCCAUACCGCGUGGGUGAAGAAGGCCUUCGGGUUGUAAAGCCCUUUUGUUGGGAAAGAAAAGCAGCAGGUUAAUACCCCGCUGUUCUGACGGUACCCAAAGAAUAAGCACCGGCUAACUUCGUG
rnacentral:rRNA from 1 species